CCCUUAGAUGUUCUGGGCCGCACGCGCGCUACACUGACGAAUGCAACGAGCUUAUAACCUUGGCCGAAAGGUCUGGGUAAUCUCCAAAUUUCGUCGUGAUGGGGAUAGAUUAUUGCAAUUAUUAAUCUUCAACGAGGAAUGCCUAGUAAGCGCAAGUCAUCAGCUUGCGUUGAUUACGUCCCUGCCCUUUGUACACACCGCCCGUCGCUCCUACCGAUUGAAUGGUCCGGUGAAGCGUUCGGACCGUGGCCUUUGGACGGUUCGCCGUCUGUUGGCUGCGGGAAGUUUGUUAAACCUUAUCAUUUAGAGGAAGGAGAAGUCGUAACA
rnacentral:rRNA from 1 species